rnacentral:pre_miRNA from 1 species
UGACCAAUUAUGGACCUUGGCACUGGGAGAAUUCACAGUGGAUCGUACCAUAUCGUUUCUGUGGAUCUUUUCGUGCCAUCGUUCAGAUUUGGUGCC